rnacentral:lncRNA from 1 species
AUCUAGUAAGGACAUAUAUAACGGGGACUAAGCUUUCCUUUUUUACCAAAUAUCUUCACCCCUUUCAAGGCCAAAAUUUUGAAAUAGGCUAUAUACCUAUAUCAAAAUCAAGAUCCCUUAUUCUUAUAUCUACAUAAGAUUCCAGAAGACUUUGGGCCAUCUUCAUCCUUUCUCUAUUAAUCUAAACUUUCUCCAUGGCCUAAAGAAU